rnacentral:rRNA from 1 species
GACGAACCGAGCGAACGUUGUUCGGAAUCACUGAGCUUAAAGGGCGCGUAGACAAAUAUUCAAGUCCGUGGUGAAAUCCUCCGGCUCAACCGAAGAACUGCCUCGGAUACUAAAUGUCUCGAGGGUGGCAGGGAUAUGCGGAACUAUCGGUGGAGCGAUGAAAUGCGUUGAUAUCGAUAGGAACUCCGGUGGCGAAAACGGCAUACUAGUCCACUUCUGACGCUGAAGCGCGAAAACCAGGAGAGCAAACGGG